GACGAACGCUGGCGGCGUGCUUAACACAUGCAAGUCGAACGGAAAGGCCCUUUCGGGGGUACUCGAGUGGCGAACGGGUGAGUAACACGUGGGUGAUCUGCCCUGCACUUUGGGAUAAGCCUGGGAAACUGGGUCUAAUACCGAAUAGGACCGCAUGCUUCAUGGUGUGUGGUGGAAAGCUUUUGCGGUGUGGGAUGGGCCCGCGGCCUAUCAGCUUGUUGGUGGGGUAAUGGCCUACCAAGGCGACGACGGGUAGCCGGCCUGAGAGGGUGUCCGGCCAGACUGGGACGGAGUUACGGCCCAGACACCUACGGGAGGCAGCAGUGGGGAAUAUUGCACAAUGGGCGCAAGCCUGAUGCAGCGACGCCGCGUGGGGGAUGACGGCCUUCGGGUUGUAAACCUCUUUCAGUAUCGGCGAAGCUCCGGAAUUUUUCUUGGGGUGACGGUAGGUACAGAAGAAGCACCGGCCAACUACGUGCCAGCCGCCGCCGUAACAC
rnacentral:rRNA from 1 species